UACGGAGGAUGCGAGCGUUAUCCGGAUUUAUUGGGUUUAAAGGGUGCGUAGGCGGAUCGUUAAGUCAGUGGUCAAAUUGAGGGGCUCAACCCCUUCCCGCCAUUGAAACUGGCGAUCUUGAGUGGAAGAGAAGUAUGCAGAAUGCGUGGUGUAGCGGUGAAAUGCAUAGAUAUCACGCAGAACCCCGAUUGCGAAGGCAGCAUGCCGGCUUCCUACUGACGCUGAAGCACGAAAGCGUGGGGAUCGAACAGG
rnacentral:rRNA from 1 species